rnacentral:lncRNA from 1 species
AAUUACCUAAAAAUUUCUAAGGGGGGUGAAGUGUACUUCCAAAUUUGGUACUAAGUAACUACGAUUUUUAUCAAUCUAAAACUUGAGAUUUCCAAUCAAGCAUUAAUGGAAAUGCUUCAACUAUGAAUCUCUUUGAGGAAAUUUAACAAACACUUAACGAGAGAUUAUAUAAUCAAUAUAAGACAAGCAGGAAUAUCUCACAUCACCGGCAAUAAUCAAGAACACUGAAAUUUAUAAUGGUUCAGACUCAAGUAUACUUCACUCUCACAAUCAAUAUAUGGGCAUUAUCACUUGGCUUAAAGCUGUAUCAACAACAAGAGCUUGGCCAAAAUUUUGAGUCCGAGGCUCAUAGUCUAUUCAAUUCCUUAACAACAUUGCAAGAAACUAAUACAAAAAAUACAAGAAUUUAACAAAUAAAUCAACUUACACAACAUCGAAGAAGCCUCAGUUAAAUAAACAAGGUGGAUUUUCCCUCAAGAUCAGUACAAGACCUUUAAUGAGAAAUAUGGGUUUUUACUUUUUAGAGUUCUUGCCCCAACGGUCAAUUUUUUUUAAAAUCCAUUGAAUGGGUCAACCCUAGCGGCCCAUAAUUCUAAUUUUAAGAGCUUAAGGCCCAUAAUUGAAUUUAAUAUAUCAGGCCCAUAACCGGUCGUGAUCUGAGGGCCAACGAUAUUCCUGGUGGGAUGCCUUUACGAUUUCUUUCUCUUCUCAUUUUCAUAAUAAUGUUCUAAUUUACUUAAUUUAUUUUAUCAAGCAUAUUUAAUUUGUUUAAUAAUUUAGUUUAAAUUAUUAAAUCAUUUUAAACCAUUAAAUUUAUUUUACCAAACACCUAUUGAUUCUAGCACUUUUCUUUCACAUGCGAUCAUAAUCCACGAUUUUGAAUGAAAAAAAAAAAAAAAAAAAAGCUGUUGUAAAAUCAAUAUCACACGUGGAGAUGGGUUGGUCUAACCACAGAGAUAUCACUUUCUUUCUUUCUAGAAACAAAUAAAUGGAAAAUCCAAAAAUGUCAAAGACGAAACUUUGAUUCAAACACUCAGACAUCCAAAGAAAAAAAAAAAAAAACGGUGAGCCUUGAAGUUUUAAUUUGUCAAAUAGAAAGGGAAAGGUAAUCAUCAGGUAGCGUCGGCCAGCCGUAUGAGUCUUGGACCAGGUGGUGUGCUUAAAGGGACAAUUUGGAUGUUUGGUAACAAUAAGAUACCUGCACCAUGGACCACCUUGGACUUUCAAGGAAUUGCAGAUGUCGGCCACCAAUAGCAUUCCUUGAACUGCAUUUUCUUUCUGCUUGCGUCACUGUGAGGAAGGACGUCACAUGAGCCGAGAAAAAUGAAAUGCCGUCAGUAGGGGAGACACCUCCAUUAAAACGCUAAAUCUUAAUGAUAUACCGAUAUUUUUAAUGCUAAUUAUCAUUCCUUUAAAAUUGCCCCAAAGUAAUAUAUUAUCAUUUCUUCUUAGUUGGUUUCCUACAAAAUAAUAUAUCAUAUUUUCUCAUGUCAUUGAUGAUUAGAUUUUUUUUUUAUUUUUGAAUCGGAUUAUUAUUACAAGGCACAAUUUAUUCAACAAUUGGAUAUGUGCUCAGAUUACUAUGAUUGUGAAGGUCAAAUCCAUGACAUUAAAAAUCAGAAAAGUGAAUUUGAACAAGUGAUAAAUGAGAUGGAGGACAAUGGUAUGAGGCCCAUUGCAUUUGCUUACAAGCAUACAGAAGUCCAAGAACUUGUAGAAGAUGGGUUGUGCUUGUUAGCAAUAGUGGGUGUUAAGUACCAGUGUCAUGAAGAGAUGAAAUUAGCAAUCAGGGCCCCCCACUAGUGCUGGGCACGGUUCAAAGUAUCAGUCGAGUCUAUCCACCUCGAGCCUCUCCGUGCCAAGUUCGAUACUUGAUACCCGAUACCAUCUGAAACUUAAACUCAAAUCAAGAAUUGUUUUAACCUCAGUGGACUCGAUUUGAGAUUCCGAGCUGACUAGGUCAAACCUUCCAAGUUACCAAAAUAAAUCAUUUUUUCACUUCGAAAUCAUAACAAAUGAACAACAAUUGAGAUCUAAACUUAAAAAACCUCUAAAAAAAUCAAAGAUUGCCUUCAAAAGGAAAAACUUUUCAACAACCAAGACCCAUGAUCCAUUAUGAAAAAGAAGAAAGACAUCGGUCUGACCAUGAGAGUUGGAGGUGUAUAAGAAGAGGAGGUUGAAGGCAUCACUAAUUGCAGAAUGGAUGUGGAGCGCUUUCAAUGGUGCCGUUGGGAAUGCAACAACAACUGUUGCCAUUUUCUCUCUACUUUUUUGGCCCUAUCUCAUCGUGGUGUGGGUGAGUCCUGUGAGUGAAUUGGUGAUAUUGAAAAAGGGUCGUGCGUGUGAAUUGGUUAUUUGAAGAAAGGAUAUUCAUAAUAUAUUAACUAAAAUUUUAAACUAUUAUGUCAUAUAGUAAUGAUUUAUUGUUUUAUAUAUUAAUGGUGUGAUAUAAAUUAUAUGUAGUGCAUUAUUUUAUAUGGUAAUGAUAACAUAUUUGGUGUAUUAAUUUCUUAUUAACAAUCUAUUCAAACCAUUCAAUUUGUUAUUAUAUUAACAUUAUUAAAAUCAUUUAAUUAAAAUUAAAAAUGGAAUUGAUGAUUGAAUUAUGUCUUUUAGUAAAAAUAUUAUUACAUGUGAAAUAAAAUAAUUUAAAAUUUUUAAUGUUAUUGUAAAUUGCUUUCUACAAAGGCUUAAUAAUUAUUUAAAUAAUUUUAAACCUGAAAUAAAUUUUAUUUUAUAAUUUUUUAAAUUUAUUUAAUUAUAUUUAUUUUCCUAAAAUUUUUUAUAAUAUUUUUGUAAUUUAAAAAAAAAAUUAACUAUCAUAUUUUGCGUAUCACCAAUACUGAGCCGAGACACCGAGAUCGAUGUGCCUCGGGAAUGUCCGAGUUAAUGACCGAUACCAUGACUUUGAACCAUGGUGCUGGGGAAGCAUCAAACUGGUGUCCAAAGAUAAGCUAUCAACCUUGAGAACCAUGGCUUGGGGGCUUGGAAUAUCUAGUCCUGGUUCAACCAAGGCAGCACUUGAAGCCCAGGAGUUUAGGAAACUGUCCCCUGAUGCAAUGGUGGAGAAAGUUGAUCAGAUCACCAUGGUGGGAAGUUUGUGCCCCGAGGAUAAGCUUCUCAUGAUAAAGUCCUUGAAGCAAAAAGACAAUGUAGUAGGAUUCAUUGGAGGAUGGACGACAAGGGAUACACCAGUUUUGCAAGAAGCUGAUGUAGGGAUCACCAUUGCAACUUGGAGCACAGAAAUGACCAAAGAGAUUUGUGAUAUUGUUCUCACUUCAGGCAGCACUUAAACACAAUAUUAGAGUCUGGUGGACAAGAAUACAAGAAGAUUCAGAAGUUCAUCUAGAUUCAGAUCAUCAGUAACAUUUCUGCUUUACUGAUCACUACAAUUGAAACAAUAUGUUUGGGAGAAUCCUCCACAACAAUUUUGCAAGUCCUUUAUCUGAAUUUGGUUUUGGCGGUUUUAGGUGGUCUAAUGCUUGUAAUGAAGCUACGGCACAAGGAACUAAGCAACAAUCAAGUUGGCAAGAGAAACAAAUCAAUUAUAACCAAGUUGAUGAGGAUAAACAUACUGGUACAAGUAUCCUACCAGGUCUUCAUUUUCCUAAUGUUUCAUUUCAAGGGAGAAGCUCUCCAUAUACCUAGCAUGAACCCCAUGAACCCAUCGUUCAAAGUCGCGAUAUCGGUCACUGACUCGGAGGGUCCCGAGGCGUAUUGGUCUCGAUGUAUCGGCUUGGUAUCGGGCGAUACGUAAAAUAAGCUAAUUAGAAAAUUCAAAAAAAAUAUAAAAAUAUCAUGUAAAUCAUCAGAAAAAUAUAUACAAUUAAAUAAGCUCAAAAAAUUAAUAAAAUAAAAUAGUCUCAUAUUUACCAUUAUUUAAAUAGUUAUAAAAGUAUCUACUCAAAGUUAUUUAUGAUAAUGCUAAUAAAAGAAAAUUAUUUUAUUUCAAAUAUAAUAACAUUUUUACUAACAAACAUACAAUACAAUAAUCAAUUCCAUGUUGAAUGACGAGGAGGUUCAAAAUCAUCAUUAUCAGUCCUACGACGAGUAUACAAAUUGGGGUGGCAAUUCCCGUAGUGAGGAUAUGGUUGAAAGAGUUGUUCAUAACUCAAAUAUGCUGGGUGAGAUGAUUGGCUUGAUGAUCCAUAAUCAGGAAAAUAUGGUUUCAAAGGCUAUUCGGGAUCAAUACCAUAUUGAUAGUAUCCAAAACCUUGAUAAACAAUGCUACUGCUACUAGAAGAUUGAUCAUAUCCAUAUGAGUCACUAGCUUGUGUUCCAGUAUUUGAAUAUCCUUUUGGAUGCAUUAUUGGAAAUCGAUCAAAAUCAUUUCUACUAAAAGUAUUGGAAGAGCUAUCACGAUUUCUAAAGUUGUGAUAUGAUCUAUCAUCUACCCCUCUGAAAUACGACCUUGAUCCUAUACCCAAAUUUUGUAAGCGGUCAUCAAUACGGUGGUAAUUUGAUCUAUGAUAAUCAUGCCCACUAGAAUAAUCAUCAUCAUUGGGAAAUGUAGUUAGUCUUUCCAAAUGCUUUCGUUGUUCCCAUAUCCUUGGUCAAUAUCCAUGAUCUGUAUCUUGUGUGGCAUAGUAAUUUUCACUUCCUUGUGCCCAUGACAUGCCAGGAUCUACUUGACUAACAUAAUCGCCCCUAGUGUUACCAUCUCCUCCAGUACCCUCACUAGUGCCACCAACUCCUUUAUUGCCCCCACGAAUGACACCACCCCACCUACUGCCCUCAUUGUCAUCAUCAUCACUACUAGAACUUGAAGAAAUUGUUCUAGAAACCUUACCUUUACGACGGGAAUCAACAUCUCUUUCUCUACAUUCUUCAUUAGUGGGGAGACCUUUAUCCAACCAAUCCAAAUUAUCAGAUGAUAAAAUAGGAUCCUCUCCUUCUCGUAUCCACUCAUCUAAUAUAUCAUCAUCAUUAAAUAUAUGAUUCAGAUCAAUUGGAUUGUAUAAAUCUUCAUUGCUUCGCUCUUACAUCAAAUUCUUAACUCGAAGUCGCAUAUUGUAGUGCACACAUAAACUAACUUAUGCAACUUUUUCAUUGCCAAACGGUUGCGCAACUUUGUGUGAAUCAAUGACCAUGUGCUCCAAUUUCUUUCAUAACCUGAUGAAGAACAAGUUUGACUUAAAAUUUUAACAGCAAUCUUUUGUAGAUGUGGACCUUCGUCGCCAUAGUUGUUCCACCAUUCAGCUAUAAUAAAGAAAAUGCAUACUUAUUAAUCAUUAUGAUAUAUUUAACAAAAAAUGAUGAUAAUUUUUUAUUUGUAAUAGACGUAAAUGUAUUGAGUACCUGGAAGAGAUUGAUUUAUUGUUUUUUUUGUAAGUGCACUUCCAAAUUCUCUUUGGCCGUCAUCAAAUAAUUUCACCUACAUCAUUAACAUUUUUUUUUGUUAAUGCACAUUACAUAGACAAAAUGCAUUAUAUAAAGGUCACAAACUAUUAUUAUACCUUGUUAAUAGCUUUUGCUUGUCUAUCCAAAUUUGGCUCUAAUAUCUUGAUAACCUCCUUUAAUCUAAAUUUAAUUUUCGAAUGGUUGGAGAAAUGCUUUGAAUAUUGGAACAUUGGAUUUAAAAAAUAUGUUGCCAUAAGUUAAAUAAUGAUCAGUUUAUAAUAAUUUGUACUUGAAAAAAAUAAUAAAAAAUAUAUAAAGAAUUUUUUUAUUACUUGAAACAUGAAAAUGUCUGUGCAAUUGACCUUCCCACCUUCUAUCAAUGACUUCCCAAUACUUUUCCCAUUGCUUGACCGAUGCCUUGAUAGCCAAUUUAGCUCUAUCCAUUGCUUCAUAAAUGAUUGAUAGUGUGAGCUUUUUAUCUUGAUCAACCAAUUUCAAUACUUUGACGAAAGGUUCCAUGAUGGUUUGAACUUCCCCUGCCUUCUUUCAAUAUCGAUCGGUUAAGAUAAGGUUGGAUACCUUAUCUCUUAGACUUUUUCUGCUCCUAUCUUUAUUGAAUUCACGCCACUCAUUUGUUGUGCACAUUCUCUUCAAAUCAGCCUCAUAACGUAUAAGACUCUCAAGUGAAAUGAAUUUAGUGGCAAAAUGGUUUAUUCCUGGCCUUAACAGAUUUCUAUCCUUGGUGAACAUUUUCAUCAAAUUCACUACUUUCAAGCUAUUAUAAAUAAAUCCUGUGAUAAUCUUAGCUUGAUCUAAUGUCUCCUUAAUCUAUUUCAUGCUUGCAAUAUCUUCAAGCAUUAAAUCAAUAUAGUGGGCUGCAUAAGGAGACCAAAACAAAUGCUUCCGCUUCUUUAUCAACAACAUAUUGACUGCUUUAAAACUUGCCUCAUUAUCAAUGACUAAUUGAACAAUAUUUUCCUCCCCAAUCUCCUCUACAACUUUAUCCAUAAGGGAAAAGAUGUAGUCUGUUGUCUUAAGUAUGUUGGUAGUAUCAACUGAAGAAUGGUAUAUCAUACUUCUAUCACGAUAAAUCAUGAAAUUGAUGAUAGGCUUUCUAGUCCUAGAACUCCAACCAUCACACAUGAUUGUGCACCCAUAUAUAGGCCAUUUAGCCUUCAAUGUUGUUAUGUAUACCUCAAGCUCUUGCACCUUCUCUUCUAAAUAUGUACUUCCAAUUUGGUAUCCCGUGGGACCCUUGAUGCCUGGACCUGCUUCUGCUAUAUAUGGUAUCAAUCAUUGAUUGAUAGUAAGGUCCACUGUCAGCUGCAUUAAAGGGUAUUGCAUUAAAGAGAAAGAAUUUAGAAAUAGCUUUACCCACUUUCUUCACGCCUUCAAUAGAAAACAAGUUUUUUUAUUGAUUUCUGCUUUGAUGGGAACAUGUAGGGAUCAAUUAUUUUUGGAGGUAUGCUAGCUCAUUCUCUUACAUUGAAGCUACGUGUCAAUCGACGCUUAAUCCUAACAUUAGAAGGUUGUGAGAAACUACCACUCUUCUGAUGCUCUUGUCCACUUUCUUAAAAAAUUCGACGACUUUCUUUCAUUGCUUGUUUCAUUUGUCUUCUUUCAAAAUUAGCCAUAGCAACUUCCUCAAUUUCAUCAUCAGAAUCACCCUCAUCAAUUUCAUAGAAAAUUUCUCUAUUUAAGGAACUCAAAAGUUGUUUUUUUUUUUUUUUUCUUUAACUGUGUUUUUUUUAAAAUAUCAAACAUAUGUUGUCUAACACUAUGUGACAUUUAUACCGGUACACGUGGACAUCCUUUCACUUGUCCGGAUAUAUGUGCGAUGUGUUACUUUAAUUUUGUUAUACCGUCAUGUCUAACUUUCCCACAAUAUUUACACUUUGUGGUUCUUCUCCUAUCACCAAUAGGUUUUGCAUGCUCCUAACCAAUAUCAUGUCUUGAAGUCAUUUUGAAAUUUUAACCUAACCAUGUAUAAAAGGAAAACAACUUACUUUUCAAAUUAAAUAUAUAUAAGCACAUUUAUAUAAGAAUUAUAAUAUUCAAUUUUCCACUCACUUAUAUGUUUCAUAUUGUUACCAUAUAAAAAUAAAUUCUAAUAAAAAAGCAAUAAACAUGAUCUCACCUAAGUUCAACAUCUUUUGUUUUCCACUUAUUUAUAUGUUUUUUUAAUUAAAAUAAAUAAUCAUUAAAUAAAUGAAUAUUUUUAUAAAAAAAUUCUUUUAAAAAAGUUUGUUUUGAUAAUUAUUGAUUUCCUAUUGUAAUUUAAUUGUAGAAUAUUAUAAAAUAAAAAAUCUACAUGAUGUAAUGAAGUAAAAUUGAUUCAAAUAUAAAUGUAAUUGACCAUGUAAAUGCAUACAUGUAGACCCUUUUUUUGGGCUACCCGGGAGCUGGCUGAAGAUUUCAUUUUUUUGGAGUAAGGGCCGGUUUUUGAAAGAGCAAGCCGCAUGGGACGCAUGGCCGAGGAGACCACCGCCUUGCCAUGGUGGUGGUUGGGACGACGACUUAUUUGCUGAGCCAAGAACAGUGAAGCUGGUAGCAGAUAAGAGAGAGUUGGGGACUAAAAAAAUGAGGGGAAGGGGGAACCGGAGAAGGAGGAGAAGUUAGCUUGAGGGGAGAGUUUGGGCUAGAGACGAGAGGAGAUAGGUUUUCUGAGGGUUUUUUUUUUUUUUUUUUUUUGAGCUUGAGAUGACACUUUGAGGGGGGGAGGGGGGAGGGGGGAGGGGAGAGGGGUGCUUUUGCUGCGAUUUUUUUUGGUGGUUGGCCAACUGGGAGAGGAGCCUUAGAGAGUUGAGGACAAAUGAGAGAUUUUUCUGGGGAAGGGAAUAGAGGAAAGGAGUGAGAGGGUGCCCUCUGAAGUUGACCGUCAGUGUACGUAGCAUGGGAGAUUAUGCCGUUUUUGUUUUUGGUUGGAAUCUCUAUAUUGGACAGCAUGGUGAAGCCUGCAACAUUAGCAUUUUGUGGUGCAUUCUUUUAUUUGUUUAUUCAUUAAAGGAUGUGCAUGUACACCUUUUUUUAUUUGUUUAUUCAUUAAAGGAUAUGCAUGUACACUUUUUUUUAUUUGUUUAUUCAUUAAAGGAUAUGCCUGUACACCUUUUUCUAUUUGUUUGAUUCAUUAAAAGUGUGCUUGUACACGUUGGGCCAUUCUAAGGCCAUAUGGCUUUUGUUUUAUUGUUUUCUUAUUUUCUUUCUUUAACUUUUGAUGCCCAAAAAUUUCAUUUUCAAAAUUUUAAUGUUAAGAUAAUUUUUCAAAACUCCAGUUUUGAUUUAAUCUUUUCAAAGCUCCAAACUAAAUUUAAUUUUUAAAACUCUAAUCUUUUUCAAAUUUAAUUUUCGGAAUUCCGAUUUCUUUCAAAUUUAAUUUCUAAAAUUCAAAUUCUUAAUUUAAUUUCCAAAAUUUCAUUUCUUUCGAAUUUAAUUUCCAAAAUUCUAAAUUCUUUCAAAUUUAAUUUUCCAAAUCCAAUUUCUUUUAAAUUUAAUUUACAAAAUUCCAUUUCCUAAAUUUAAUUUUUAAAACUCCAAUCUUUUUCAAAUUUAAUUUCCGGAAUUCCAAUUUCCUUCAAAUUUAAUUUCCAAAAUUCAAAUCCUUCGAUUUAAUUUUCAAAAUUUCAUUUCAUUCAAAUUUAAUUUCCAAAAAUUUUGAUUUCUUUCAAAUUUAAUUUCCAAAAUCAAAUUUCUUGUAAAUUUAAUAUCCAAAAUUCCAAUUCUUAAAUUUCAUUUUUCAAAACUCUGAUUUUCAAGUAAUCUUCGGGACUCCAAUUUUUCAAAUAAAUUUCAAAAAUCCAAUUUUCUCUUGAAUAGUUUUAAUUCCACUCUGGUUUUCAAAUAAUUUUAUGCUCCUCUUGAUUUUAAUAAGCAGUGAAUGAAUUUUUCAUAAUUCCAAAAUAAUGGAAUUCGUGACAUUAAUUCAUGCAAAAUAAAACGGGCUUUGGUGAGAGCUCGACAUAUGUGAUUUUAUGAUUGAUUGAUUGAUUGAUUGAUUGAUUUUAUUACUAUACAUGAAUGAUUUACUCUAUUCGACUCUAUGACAUGCAUGCAAUUAUUUUGUGUUUGAUUGCUAACAUUUGUUUCCCUUGAAGUAAACCGGUUCGUCACUCGGGUACAUUCUUUGCAUUUCUUGUUCAUUCAAUUAUUUUGUUUUGAGUGAUAUUCCUUUGGUAUCCAUGCUUGAUUAAUCAAUUGUCAUACUUGCUCUAUCUCAUUAGUAGAGACCCGUUUUUAGGGACUUAGAGGGGUGCUACGGUCUUUACCGUACCUUCCCGAUAAGUAACCUGACCCCCGAACCCGAUCCGAUUUUUCACAGACCAUAUUUUCCAAAAUAAGGAGUCACACUUAGGGUUUUAUUUUUUAUUUUUUAUUUUUUACCCUUUUAAAAAUAAAACAGAAAUAAGUGGCGACUCUAAGUUAUUUUUCUAAAAAAAUAACAAUAAAUCAUUUUUUAAAAUUAAAAUCGAUCUCGCCAUUGAGUGGGAAAGCGCAUGAGCCAAAAUGCAAGGUCCACAAUACCCUUCAUUCCGUAUUAUUAAAUCAUUUUGAUUAUUUGAAAAAAAAAAUAUUAAUUUUUUAAUGUAAUUAUUUUUGCAAUAUUAUAAGAUAAAAACAUAAAUUAAAAAUACAAUAUCUAUACCAUAUAAAUGUACUUUAUAUUUCUAUACCAUACAAAAAUAAUUUAGUGAACCAAUUUAUUGUUUUGAUAAUUAUUGAUUUCCUAUUGUAAUUUAAUUAUAGAAUAUUAUAAAAUAAAAAAUCUAUAUGAUAUAAUGAAGUAAGAUUGAUUCAAAUAUAAAUGUAAUUUACCAUGUAAAUGCAUACCCUUCAUGCCGUAUUAUUAAAUCAUUUAUGAUUAUUUGAAAAAAAAAAUUUAAAUAAUUAUUAAUUUUCUAAUGUAAUUUAAUUUUGCAAUAUAGUAUUAAUGUAAUCGAGUAAUAGGGAAUUUUUUUGUCACUAAUAUAAUGUAAAUUUAUUUAUACUAAUAGAAAAUUGAGUGAUAUUUUUAAAGUAUUCAAUACAAUUUCUUGUACAUUAUAUUUUGUAGCAUUAUACAAAAUUUUAUAUAAAAUAUAAAACAUUUAUUCAACAAAACAAUGUAACAUUUCAGAGCUCAUGAUAUCACUCAAUAAUAAUAUUAUAAAAGAUUUUGAUAUAAUUUUACUCAAUACUAUUUGACUAAUUAUACGUCAGAUGUCAAUUUUUCUCCUUAUUGAUUUAAAAAAAAAAUUAUUAGCAUAAAAAAUAAAGUGGACAACUAGGAAAAGAAAAUUAAUUUAUUUUAAUAUCUUGUAUGAUAAGACACUUUGAAAUUAUGUUGUAACAUUGGUGAUUAUCGUUAGUAACUACUUGGCAAUUCUAAUUCAAACGAAAGAUCGAGUAUUAAAACUAUCUUGAGAUUUACUCAAUUUAUUAAAACCUAAUUAGUUAAAAAUGAUGAAAAUAAUCCUUAUAUUUGAAGAGUAACUCAUUUUUUUUUUAUGUAUAAAUACCCUUGAUUAUUUUAAGUAUUUACAUGAAUGCUUUAAAAGAAAUAAUUAUUUUGAUAAGAAAAAAAUGAGAGUGUUUUUUUAAAAUGAUGCCAAAAAAAAUAAUGAAGGGUUAGAUUUCCAAAAUUAGAUUUUCAAUAACCUUUUUAAUUAAAUAAGUCAUUUACUAAUGCUAUAUUUGGUUUAUGAAUAUUAAAGGAAAAAAAAAAAAAAAAAACUAAACAAAUUUAAGGUUAAUAAAUUAUUUUUGUAUGGCUCUUUUAAUUCAUUUUAUUUAUUUAUUUUUCUAUAUAAAGAUUAUAUAAUUUAAAAAUAUAUAAAUGUUUAGCUAAUUUUUAAUUGCAGUUGAUUUUCUUUUAUAUUUUUUAUGAUAAAAAUAAAUAAUUUUUUUGGGAAUUAAAUAUAACCUAAACGAAGGUUUAAUAUCUAUUACAAAUGAGUAUUUAUAAUUUUUUACUUAUAUAUGGAAAAUUAGAUUAUACCAUAGUUGAAGAAUAUAAAACAAAAAUCAAAGACCAUUCAACCAAAGACUAAUAGAUCACAUCUCAAGGAUGGUCAAUCACCCAACUGGGUUAAGAUGAAUUUUAAUUAAUCACUUAAUAAAUAAAUUAGUAUUUAAUGUCACUUGUCAUUGUAUAAAAUAAAAAAUAAUAACUGAUUUUAUUAAGAGUAUUGAGAAAUUGAUAAAAUGUAUAAUUUAAUGGUGAUAAUAAUUUUAAAAUAUUAAAGAUAUUCAUUUAUGUUUUCUCAUUUAUGUGAUGGAUGAAAGUCAAUCAAAUUAAUUGGCACCGAAAAACAAAAAUGUUAUAACCAUCCAAUAUUUGAAAAGGAAUGAUAGAUUAUAUAUAGUAACAAUAGUGUUAAACCGUAUACAGAGGAGUAUAUAUAUACUCGCAUGCUUCAUUAAGCACAACUAUAUAGCAAAAAGGGGGAAUUACCUUUAUUAGUUAUUACCUGCUGGUUUGAAACCCUUGCCCUCUAUCUUCUUCCCCAAUAUCACGAAAACCGAUCUACAGCCUUGCUAUCUUCUUCCCCAACACACCACGAAGACCAUGAAGAUCAAUCUGUAGCCUUGCUAUCUUCUUCCCCAACACACCACGAAGACCACAAUCUAUAGCCUCUCAAACUAUCAGACCUUCCCACUGCUACCAUACAACCAUGAUCUGCUACCUUCCCACCGGCAACGCACCAAAGACAAAGAUUCUACACUCCGAUAAUGGUGGAUUUAGGGUUAAGUAAGUUAUUCUUCAACCGAGGCUCUUUUUAAAGGCUUUUGAAAGGGUCACGGGUUUGUUUCAAAUUUUCAUGGGUUUUCUUUUGUAGAGGAAUCUUUGAUUUCUUUGAAAAAUUGAUUCUUGUUGUGAUGGGUUUCUUUUGUGGGGAAUCUAUUGAUUAGUUUUUUUUUUUUUUCGAGUUGACCGAGUUAACUCGGAAUAUUGGUCGAGUAAUCCAAGUCCAACUGAUUCUAGGCCGAGUCUAGGUAUAAAUUGUAUCUAGUAUCAGACUCGUCGUGGCCGACGUCGAGAUGGAUAAGACUCGGCUUAGUUGUACCGGACUCGGCCGAUUUUUUGAACCCUGUAUGAACCAAGAGGUCAGAAAAGCAAUGAUUUUUAAUGGUUUCCUUCUAUGCUAGGUCUUCAAUCAUUUCCAUCACUUUUUUGACUUGGGUAACUAUGUCUGUUGGUUGUUUUUAGUGGCAUUCAUAGGCAUGCAUGUGUUGGGGUUUACUGAACUUUGUUUAAAGUUGAAUUGGAUGCAGUGGCCUUUUUGUUUCCUCAUUGCUAUGCUUUCAUGAGGGAUAAAUUCAACCACAAUUUUGAUCUCAAUCCUCAUAAAAAAAAAAUCUAGAUUAAUGCCCAUUUCCCUCGUCUUCCAUGCCUUGUUUUCCAACCUGUUGUCUCCCAUCCUUUCUCCUAAAUUUUCUAUGCUAUCACUGUAGAAUGAGUCUAUGUUCCUUACCACUGCAUCACCUUAGGUCAUUUUCUUUUUUAUUUCUAGCUUUUUGUAAUUUAUUUUUGAAUGUGAAGCGUGAACCAUUGAAAAGAUAUUAUGUAGUUUCUAUUUCCAUUUUGAAAUACUACCUUACACUACAGUUAAUUGAGAUGUUACUAAGACUUCUAAGAUUGAGAACUUCUAUUUUUCUUUCAUUUUUCUUUUUCUUGCCUGAUUACUCUCACAUGACAACAGAUUUUGCAGUUUUUUCAUAUAACAUUGCAUGAAUGAAGUUGAAAUUUCAUAGAAUGUUGAAAAGGGGAAAGAGGUUGAGAGGACUUCCAAAAUUUCAAAACUAAUUUUGAUUUCUAUCAAUUUAAAGCCUAAGAUUUCCAAGCAACCAUCAAUGAAAAUGCUUCUACAAUGAAUCUCUUUGAGUAAUUUUAUGUAACAAUUAACAAGAAAGUAUAUAAUCAAGUGGGAAACUCCAAGGUAGCUAAUAAUAAUAAUGUUGGUGUUGGAGUUGGGUGGGUGCCCAAGUCGGGGUGACCCAACCUGAUCCAACAAAUCAGAGAUUUGGGGGGAGCAAUUUCUGGGAGUUGGAAUUGCCAGAAACUACCUAGAAACCACCCCACUAAAGAAAGAUGAUUUCUCUCUUACUCUCUCUUAAACUCUUUGGCUCAUUUUUUGUUUUCUUUGAAAAGAAAGACAGAGAGAACUUAAAAAGAAAAGUUCUCUGAAGAGUAGGUGAAAAGUUUUUGUACUAUGAAAUGAAGUGGUUCCUGAUUUAAUUGUGGCUCCAUUCAAGACUUGAGGUGAAAAAUUGAAUAGUGAAACAAUUUAUUAUUGGAUCAUGGAUUUUUCAAAAGGUAAUCCAAAGAUCUGGGGUGACCCAAGUCGAUCCAACAAAUUAGAGAUUUGGGGGGAGCAGUUUAUGGGAGUUGGAACUACCAGAAACUACCCAGAAACCGCCCCACUAAAGAAAGAUGAUAUAUCUCUCGCUCUCUCUUAAACUUUUUGGCUCAUUUUUUAUUUUCUCUGAAAAGAAAGACAGAGAUAACUUAAGAAGAAAAGUUUUGAAGAGUAAGUGAAAAUUUUUUGUGCUGUGAAACAAAGUGGUUCCCAAUUUGACUGUGGUUCCAUUCACGACCUGAGGUGAAAAUUUGAUCGGUGAAACAAUUUAUUAUUAGAUCCUGGAUUUUUCAAAAGGUAAUCCAAAGAUUUUUAACAUUGGUAUAAACAUGUUUUCAUUUGUUUCCUAUUUUGUUUUCUUUCCAAAAAGAACAUUGUUUCCUAUUCUGAUUUGUUUUCAAAAAGAAAUUCCCAUAAAUAAAAUAAAAAAUAAAAAUUGGUGGUUACAGUGAACAAAUGAUGGAUGCAAUAAAAAAAAAAUGGUGGAUGCAGUGGAUGCACGAUAAAAUUGUAUGAUAUCCAACAGUGGAUAAUAUAGAAUAAAUAAAAAAAGCAAAAAAAAAAAAAUAUAUAAGACGAAAUGCGGUAGAUACCACCCUGUUGUAGAAGUCCACCCCUACCAUACCAAUGGUAGAUAAUUUAGAUAAUAUCUAAUUAAUUAUUGGAAAUUGGAUAUUAUAAUAAAAUAAAUAAUACAGGAUUCAAACCUGAGUCUUCCCCCUGUAAGGAGUCCCUUAUUACCACUAGAGUACCAACACUUAAUGUGACAUGAAUACCAUUUAUUGGUAUUAUAUUGUUUAUUUCAAAUGAUGAAUGUUGAUUUGUUCAUAAAAUAAUAAUAAUAAAAAUGAGGGACAAUAAAAGACACAUGCCUUUUUUAUUUUAUUUUAUUUAUAAUAAUUGUGUCCUUAUAAUUAAAUUUUUUAUUUGUUCAAAUAUUUAAUUAAAGUAUAUGUUACUCAUUAAAAUUAAAUUAAAUCCUUUUGGUAAGGUGCGAAAUGGUUUGAAUGAAGAGAACUAGGAGAGUAUUAAGGGGUAGAAGACUUUGGCCGUUUUUGGAUACGCUUAUGAAUUAUGAGAGGAACCCUAACCAUUCUAUAAAUGAACAUGUGGAUCAUGUGGUUAAUAUGAUCAAGAGUUUGGAAGUAGAAUAUAUUUUUCAAUCAUGUUAUAAAAAACGAAUUUUACAAAUGUUGUUGACAGAAUCUAAGACUAAAGUUUUAGAAAAUAUAUGAGAAUUCGUUCAAGAAGGGCCUCAUGGUUUCACAAAUAAUUCUUUUGAUGACUUAGUAGCUCUUUUUAAGGAACAUUGGCAAAUUUGCUUUGUAAAGAAUGUCAUUAGAUGAAUAACAACGGUUUAUAUUUCUCCUAACUUGUUAAGUGCUAGUUUUUCAAAUUCUAUCAGGCAUAAAAUUUUUAGAGGGUUAUAGUUAUUGAAAACAACUUCUAGAGUUAUAGAAGACACUGUGUAUAAUCCAAACCUUGUUCCUUUUAGCUUCAAUGGAGAAAAUUAGUUUUUCUUUUAUAUAUUACAUUUUCUUUUAUGUUUUGUACAUAAAAUGUAAAUAUUUUGAUUUGCAAGACAUGACAUGUAUGUUUAUCUUAUUGAUGAAUUAGUAUUUUUUUUUAUUCACAUGACUUCAGUUAUUUAUAAAUAUGUUGUCAACACAUGCUAGUUGUACAAUAUUAUUUCAUGGAGUGGGAAGUUUUAGGUUAAAUGCAAUUUAUGUAAUUUCUUGCCUAAAUACAUAUAUAGUAAUACUAGUAUAGAUUAUUUCUAAUUCAUAAUAAUUAAAAUUGUAUAUAGGAGCUGAUUGGGAACAUAGUGAACUGUUGUUUCUAUUACAAUUAAGGUUAUUACAUAUUAGAAGAUAAUUAGAGCAAGUAUGAGUCUCGAUAAUCUCAAAAUUACCAACUAACAAGAUUUGUGCAAUAUCUCUAUGUAGUUGAAUGUGUCAAUUGCAACUAAGAACAUCAAAGUAGAACUAAAUAAGGGUGAGAAAUUGAAUGGUGAUAAUUAUGAAAUUUGGCAUCGAAAGGUUCGGUAUAUCCUUGAAGAGCAAGAGACUCUCAAAACACGUACUGAAUUAUAUCAUGAAAGAACUUGAAUAAGGAAACUCUGCCCAACAUAGAGGAGAUUAGGAUGCUUAUGUGGCCUAGAAGAAAAAGAGUUCUUUAGUUUGCUUUACGUUGUUAAGUUGUAUGCAAUAUGAUCUCUUGAUUGAGUAUGGGGUAUACCAAACUACUCAUGAGAUGUGGGAAGGUCUAAAAGAAAAGUAUGGUGGACUUUAAGCUACAAAGCUAAAAUAACUUGUAAUGAAAUUUAGAAAUUACAAGAUGUGACCCAACCAUACAAUGAAACAACAUCUCAAGAAGAUGAAAAGAAUGAUAAGAGAGCUUAAGACAUCUAGACAUGUCCUCACUAAUGAGCAACAAGUUAAGGUAGUCAUCAGAUCUCUACCAAAGAAUUGGAAACACAUGGUGGUGAACAUGACACAUAAUGAGAGUGUCAAGAACUUUGAUGAUAUAGUUCGCCAUCUUGGAUUGGAAGCUGAGCAACUUGUGGGUACUAGGCCAAAUGAACAAGCUUAUGUAGCUGAAUCUAGUUCAUGCAAAAGUUCUAGCUUUAAGCAUAAUAGGAAAUUCUUUAAGAAAAAUAAGAAAUCUGAUGAUGCUUUAAAGAAAGGAAAAACAUGGGCACGUAAGAAGUUUAAGCGUGUUAAGAGGGAAGAAAACAAGUUAAAAUGCUACAAUUGUGGCAACAAGGGUCAUUUCGCUUGUGAGUAGAUUGAGCCUAAAUAGGUAUGGUCCUAUUCAAAUAACUCAUGUGCUUAUGUUUCUAGUUGUGUAAUGUUAACCGAAUCUAUUCCUUUGUGAACUGUAGACUCAAUCGCCACUGACCACAUAGCUAGAGACUAAGGAGCAUAUGUAGAGUUUCAGCAAAUUAGUUUUAGUUCAAGAUGGAUCUAUGUAGGAAACAACUCCAAAGUUGAGGUCAAGGGUAUUGGAACAUGUAAAUUGGAAUUGUGCAGAUAAUGUACCCUAUUCUUACAUGAUGUUUUUUAUGCUUCGAAUAUUCGACGAAAUUUGGUCUUUGUGUUAGUCUUUCUUAGUUUAGGUUUCAAUUUGAAUUUUCAUGAUUCAGUAAUGGAGUUGUAUUUGGGAACAACAUACUAUGGUUCUAGAUUUAUUCUAAAUGGUUUUAUGGUUCUUGACAUUGAUAAUUGUGUAUUGUCUAAUACUAAUGAUAGUUAUUAUUUGUUGAUGACUACUUCUAGAAAUACAUGUGAUAAUGUGAUCAUAUGACAUGUUAGACUUGGACAUAUUGAAUAAGAAAGAAUGAAUAGACUAGCUAGAGAAAAUCUACUAGGUCAAUUCACUAAAAUUGAUAUCCUAACUUGUGAAUGUUGUCUAGUUGGUAAGACAAUAAGAAAACCAUUCGAAAAAGGAACUAUAGCUGAAAUACCAUUGCAAUUGAUCCAUUUUGACAUCUAUGGUCCUAUGAGUGUUAGAGCAAGGCAUGAUGCCUUGUAUUUCAUCACAUUUAUAGAUGACUUUACUCGUUAUGAUCACGUUUAUCUGAUUUCUCAUAAGUUAGAAGUAUUAGAUUGCUUCAAACGCUACAUUAAUUUAAUUAAAAAUCAAUUGGAUAAAAAGAUUAAAACAUUAAGAAUAGACUAGAGUAGAGAAUAUUUAUUAAAACAAUUUAAAGAUUUAUGUGAUGAAAAAGGUAUUAGUAGAGAACUAACUAUUCUAGGGACUCCACAACAAAAUGGUGUUGCUGAGAUGAGGAAUAGAACGUUGUUAGACAUGGUUAGGUCAAUGAUGGCUAAAAAAAUUCUUCCCAUUUCAUAUUGGGGAGAUGCGUUUUUUACUGCUACUUAUGUACUUAAUUGAGUACCCUUAAAGACUGUUGCAUCUACUCCAUAUAAGUUAUGAAAUAAUCAAAAGCCUGAUCUUAUCAAUUUGUGACCAUGGAGGUCAACAACUUAUAUUCACAAUCUUUCUCAUAAAUAUGGAAAAUUAGGUCAUAAAGGAAGGAAAUGUAUUUUUAUAAGAUACACUGAACACUUCAAAGGAUAUGUGUUCAUAAGUGAUCAUGAAGAUGGAACAAUAACUGAAUUAGAAUCAUGAAAUGCCACAUUCUUUGAGGACAAUUUCCCAUGUAUAAGUGAAAUUGAUAAGGAUUUACAUCUUUAUGAAAUGAUGGAUCCUAACAUAAGAUCUACACCCAAGCAACAAUUGAUGUUUGAACCUAAUGGGAGUGAAUUGGUACCUAGAGCAAGUAUAGUAAAAUACUCGAUGUUGAGAAAAAGUUCUUGACAAAUUAUUCUUCAACGAUGAUUUGAGAUUGAAGGGGAAGUUCAUAUUAUUACUCAAUAUGAUGAUGCUGAGCCUAAGUCAGUUCAGGAGGCUCUUACUUGUCUAACUAAGAAUGAAUAGAGAUGAACAAUGGAAGAGGAAUUGGAGUUAAUGCGAAAGAAUCAAGUCUAAGACUUGGUUGAUCUGCCUUCAGAUUGAAAAGCUAUUUGAAACAAAUGAGUUCUUAAAAUAAAAUGAAAGACAGAUGGAUUCAUUGAAAAUUAUAAAGCUCGAUUAGUUGCUAAAGGGUAUACCCAACAAGAGGGUAUAGACUAUGAGGAAACCUUCCUCUAGUGGUUAGGUUUGCCUCAAUUCAUCUCAUUCUAGCUAUAGUAACUCAUUUUGAUUUAGAGCUACACCAAAUGGAUGUUAAGACAACUUUCCUUAAUAGAGAAUUGAAUGAAGAAAUAUAUAUAUGGAACAACUAGUAGGUUUCAUUAUCCAAGGCCAAGAUAGCAAAGUGUGCAAGUUAAAUUGAUCAAUUUAUGGCCUUGAGUAAUCCUCCCAACAGUGGUACUUGAGAUUUCAUUGUGCAAUAACUUCGUACGAUUUCACAAUGAUUGAUGAGGACCAUUAUGUUUACAUUAGACAACAUAAAGAUAAAUAUGCGUUAUUAUCUUUAUAUGUUGAUGAUAUACUUAUAACUGGAAAUGAUUUGGAGUUUGUUCAAACCAUGAAAAGAUGGUUAUCAUCUACUUUUGAGAUGAAAGAUAUGGGAAAAACAUUUUAUAUUCUUGGAAUAAAGAUUCAUAGAAAUCGUUCUAAUAGACUAGUGGUUCUUUCAAAAGAAUACUAUAUUAAGAAAAUCCUUGAACGAUUUAAUUUACAAGAUUGUAAUCCCAUUGACACUCCAUUUAUAAGAGGUGAAAACCUAAGCAAAGAAAUGGGUCCAAAAACUUUAAAAGAAAAGAGAAAAAUGAUUAAUGUUCCCUACUCCAAUGUUGUUGGGAGUCUAAUGUAUGCUACGAUGUGCACAAGAUCAGACAUCUGCUAUGUUGUUGGGAUGGUUAGUUGUUACCACGCAAAUCCUAGCAUGAUGCAUUGGAAAGCAGUAAAAAGUAUCUAAAAGGCAUUAAGGACUAUUUCCUUUGUUAUCAAGGCAAAAGAUUGUGUUUGGUGGGUUAUUUAGAUGCAGAUUGUGCAUGUGAUUUAGAUGAACGCAAAUUAACAUUUGGAUAUAUAUUCUUGCUUAACAAUGGUGCUAUCUCAUGGAGAAGCAAGAAACAGACUUGUAUAGCUUUAUUAACCAUGGAAACUGAAUUUAUUGCAUGUUCAGUUGCAGUAUAGGAAGUUGUAUGGUUGAGAAGAUUUUUGUAAAGCUUGGGAAUAGUCAAGGUUGUUUUUGGGCCAACAACAAUCUAUAGUGACAGUCAAGCUGUCAUUGCUUAUGUAAAUGACUUCAAAUAUCAUGGAAAAACUAAACAUAUAGAUACCAAGAAUAAUUUUAUAAGAGAUAUGAUUUCACCAAAGGAUGUGAUCUUGAAAUAUUUUCCUACACGUGAGAUGGUUGCUGAUCCAUUCACAAAAUCCAUUUUCAAGACACAUGUUUUCUGUACAUGUAAAGUCAUUAGCACUACAUAGGUUAUAAUUUAUGUUGAUUAUAUGACAUGGAUCAUUAUUGAUUCGAUAUAAGAUACUCUGUAAAUGAUUAAAUGAGUUGAGUAUUUGUUAUUCAUAUCAUUGAAUAUGUAAAUGGUACUUAUACAUAUAUGCUCUUAAACGUAUGUCAAUAGGUAGAGGUUGACUUUCUCACACGAGUAACUGCCCCAAUCAAUGUGUUUAUGAGUUGGGAUGAGACAUGGUAUACUAAUGAUGAUAAAUGAGUAAAAAGCGUACAAAGAUAAUGAGAGUCACCUUGAUUAAGCAUCAAGACGAGGUUUAUAAUAAAUGACAUCUUGAUCGAAUGCAAUAGUCCACAAUUACAUUUUCUUGUUUGAAUCAGACUUGAGUUUUAACAUAAAAGGUUUGAGGAGAACCAUAAAUGUGAAACUCAAACAAGUUGUUGGUAUGGAGCUCUUAGUUGAGGUCCAUAUGGUGGUAAUUUGACAUACACUCUCUAAGUGAAGUUAAACCACCAUAGCAUGUAUUUCAUACUCAUGUGUUUGAAAGUGACUAAUAAGGAAAAUGAGUGAUUAAUCCCUACAUCCUCAUUGUCUAAGAUCCUUAGGGCUUAUUACAAUUAUAAUAGCCCACUAUUGUACUCUUUGUAUUUUUGGCUAUGUUUUGAGGUGAUAAAUUAAUGCUACCACUUUGGCAUGUUUUUGACGAAAAUAAAAUAAUUUAUCCUUAUGGGACAUAUUGGGCAAGUGAUUAAUUUGAAUUUAAAAGACAUGAGCUUAAAAGAAAGAUUUUUUUUUUUAGUUACAUUGAUAAAGAUGUGUUUACGGUUGACCAGUUAUAUUGCUUUUGUAGCUAAUUGUGAAUACAUUUAUAAUGUUGUAUAGUGUGUAACUUUAAGGGAUUAAGUGUAUACAUUAAAAUGUGACUAAAUAAAUAUGGGGUACAUGGAGACAUGAUUAUAAUUGUUUACUCAUAAUUUUGGGGUUAAGCUAUUAUGUAUCCCUAAUAGGUACAUAACUUUAUAAGCUCCUAAAUUGUAGAUGUACUCGCAUGGUCAUACAACCCAUUUACCUGUAUGAAUCACCUUCAAAAGUUGAGAGAAUGAACUUGGAUGAUUAUUGAUCAAUUGUAUCAACCCAUCUUGUGCAAGUGGGAGAUAUUGGAGAUGGGUGGGUGCCCAAGUCGGGUUGACCCAACCUGAUCCAACAAAUCAAAGAUUUGGGGGAGCAGUUUAUAGGAGUUGGAACUAUAAAAAACUGUCCAAAAACCACCCCACUAAAUAUAUAAAUUGAAAAGAAAGAAGAUAAUUUCUUUCUCUCUCUGUUCCUCUCUCAAACUCUUUGGCUUAUUUUUUAUUUUCUUUGAAAAGAAAAGUUAUCUGAAGAGUAGGUGAAAGGUUUUUGUAUUGUGAAAUGAAGUGGUUUCCAAUUUGAUUGUGGUUCCAUUCAUAACCUGGGGUGAAAAUUUGAACUGUGAAACAAUUUAUUAUCGGAUCCUGGAUUUUUCAAAAAGUAAUCCGAAGAUUUUUAACAGGUGGAAAAAUGCAAGGUAAAUACAAGAUCCCACAUGAUCACAAGCAAUAACCAACACCACCAAAAUCUAUAAUGGUAUGUCCUCAAGUCUGCAUUCACUCCCAAGGAAUUUUUCAGUAACAAUUCACUAAUCAGUAUAGGCAUUAUAUCAAUUCACUAGAAACUGAAUCAACAACAAGAACUUGGCAAAAUUCUUCAACAAACAACUUAAAGAGUACAAGGCUCACAACAAAUUUAACUAGCUAGGAUUCAAUCCUUAACAUCACUGCGAGAAACUAAUACAAAAAAUAAAAAUAAAAAUAAAAAUACAAGAAUUUAACAGAUAAAUCAACCCACACAGCCUUGAAGAAGCCUUCAAUGCUCUUCAAAACUCCUCAGCCUCUUUGAUGAUGAACCACUUGAAUCUCCUUAAGACUCCUCAAUCCAAUGCGCAAAAUGGAGUUUCUCUCAAGACUAAUACAAAGAAAUUUGAUGAGAAUAUAUGGGUUUUUAAAGCUCUGUCCAAACUCAAAAAGGGUCUUACAGCCCUGGGUUUCUUGGAUGAGGAAGAACGAGGAGAAAUAGGGGAAACAAUGAGCUUACAUUCAAAUGCUCUCCAACGAUCAAAUUUUGAAAUCCAUUGAAUGGUCUACCCUAUCGGCCCAUAUUCAAAACUAAGGGCUUGAGGCCCAUAAUUGAAGUAUAGAGCCUGGGCCUCAUUAUUGGUCGGCCCCACAACACUCUUGGCCCAUGUGUGAUUAUUUUUCCAAUAGUAAUGUGAAUAAUGCCUAUUACUGAAAUGACUUUUAGAAAUUAAUUAAUAGUUAUAUUAAUUAAUUAAGAAAAGACAAAAUAGUCCUUCAUUUUCAGAAAUAACUCUCUUUUUUCAAACAUAAAAUAUGACCCCCUUAAUGAAAAAAAAACUCUUUUCCUAAAAAGUUUUUUAUAUCCAUUGCACAUUUAAUACUAAAAAUAGAAAAAAAAUUAUUUUUUUAGAUUGGAAAUUAUUUUAUGCUUUUAAUAUAUAAAUCUUUUAUAAGCUUCAAAUAUAAUAAAUAUAUUAUGUCAGAAAAUUGAAAUGUUCCGGAUAUUAUAUUUAAUCUCAAAAUGAUAUAUUUUUAUAUCAUUUUAAAUAUCUUUUUACUCUUAUUUGAACAUGUAUAAAAGCAUAAUAAUAGUGCGAAAAAUAUGAUUAAAAUUAAGAAAAUUACAAUUAAAAGUUGAUGAUUGAAUAAAAAUAAGAUAAUUAUGAUAUAAAAAAAAGUAAUUAGAUUAUGAAUACUGUGAUUGAAUACCAAAAAAUAUUAUCAGAUGUGUCUUUUAUAUGUAAGAAUGCCCUUAUUAACUUAAAUUUCUAAUUUUAUAUUUUGAAUUAGUGGAGAUUUCAUAGAGUAGGUUUGAAACUGUUUUUAAAAACAUUUUUAUUAUUAUUAAAAACAAAAAACUAUUUUCUGUUAGUAAUUUAUUCAAUUCUCAUAAUGCAAAAUAAAAAACCUCUAACUUUUGCAUAAAUCAUAAAAAACAAUAUAAUUUUCAUAAGAUAAAAUUAAGAAAAAAACGUACUUUGAUUUAUGAGAGAUUUAUCAAAGAAAAAUCAAAUAUAAGAGCAAACUACACAAAUGUAUUUUUAGGGAGGAGAAAAACUGAUAUCUCUUUCUCUAGGUAGAGAGAGGAUUAGUUUUUUACUUUUUAAAUAUGCUAAUUAUCCCACUUUCUAUUACAGUUAGUUAUCAACAUUUUCUCAAAUUCGAGCAGUAAAAUUUUAACAAAUAUUAUUUAUUUAUUAAACCAUAAUUAAUAUAAAAACUUAAAUCAUUGAAAAACAUAUUUAAUAUUUUUUUGAGGACUUAUUCUAAAAACUAUUAUUAAUUGUUUUUAUUUAUUUUAUAUUUUAAAAUUUUAAUUAUACAAAUGUAAAGAAAAUGUAAAGAGCAAUUGAAAAUAAAAUAUUUCAAUUUUAAGAGCUAUUUAAAAAUAUAAAAAAGAGUUUAAUAUAUUUUACCCCAUCAACUUAUUGUGUGUUUUGCACAUGACCCAUUAGGUUUAAAAUCGAAUAAAUUGUCUUUCAAACUUCUUAAAUACUAAUGUUAUGCCUUUUUUUUGGACGAUGUUAGUUUGAAUAGACGAAAAUGUCAUGUACUUUGCACGUGACUUAAUAAAUAAGGACAAAUUUGUAAAUUAAAUCACCAAAAUAGAGUUCUCCUUCCUCUUUGUUCUUAUUAUGGAACCCUAAAUUGUCAAACACUCACAAGUCAAUCUCAAUUCUUAAGUUGUGGCUUUUUCCAAGCAAGUCUAGGUUUUUUAGCUUUUCAUUUCUUUCCAUGAAAUUCACAUUAAUUUGCUUUUCAUUUCUUUCCAUGAAAUUCCCAUUAAUUUAAUUUUUUACUCAUUGUUAGGAUCCUUUUUCCAGGCUCCUUGAUUAGGUUUUGUUUUCAAGUAGAGGAGGUUUUCAUUUUUAUGCCCUUUUGGUUCGUUUGGUUGCUGGGAAACUAAAGGAAAAGAUAAGGGAUAAAUGAAAUUAUGUUAUUUGUUUUUUUUCGUUGUUUUUCUGGAUGGUUUUAUUUCGAAGUAAAAGGGGGUUUUCAUUUUUUUUUUUUUUAAUGCCCUUUUGCUCUAUUUGGUCGUUGGGAACUAAAGGAAAAGAGAAAUGAUAAAUGAAACUUAUUUAUCAUUUUUUUGGACGGUUUUGUUUUGGGGCAAAGGGUUUUCCUAUUUUAUGUUAUUCUACUUUGCUUGGCUGUUGGGAAACCGAAGGAAAAGGGAAAAGGAAAAGGAUGAAUGAAACUUGUUUGUCUUUUUGAUCGUUUUUUGGGCAUCCUUGUUUGUUAGGCAUGUGAUCAAUUGUAAAUCUUCAUAGUGAAACAUAUUUGAGUUCAUAGGUUUCUAGUUUAUCUAGAAUCAUAUGAGAUGAAGUUAUUCAAAAAUCUAGUAGGCAUUAAAGAAUAAAGAAAAUCAAUCGUAGUAUUAAAUAUUCUUGUUAAUAUUUUUGAACUUUCAAUUUUAUUUUAAUUGUUUUGCAUAUAUUUGAUUGUUUUGUAAAUAUGGUGGGUGCUUGAGGAUUUAGGAUUUUAGGAAGAACCAAAAAAAAGAAAGAGGAGAGCGGAAUUUUAUUUUGGUGAUUUAAUUUAGAAAUAUGACCUUAUUUAUUAAAUUACGUGCACAACAUAUGAUAUUUCCGUCUAUUUAAACUAAUAUCAUCCAACAAAAAGACAGUGUUUCAAACACGAGAGAGCAAUGUACAAAACACGCGAUGAAUUGAUGAGGUAAAAUAUAUUAAAUCCUAUAAAAAACAUGUGGUUAACAAUGUUGCAAGUUAUAACCAAAUUUUUAUUUUAGAACAUAUCAUAAAACUAUUUUUAAAAAUGAUUCUCAAAACCAUUUUUUUGCUAGAAGGGUUUCAAAAACUCAUGCUCAUCUUUGGUAUACCAUCUGACUUGGAAAAGCUUUUGGUCCAUGACUCCAUCUUCAUCAUCCAAGCCAAGGCCUUGUGUUUAUCCCUUUAAGACGUUUUGGAGCCGCCUACAUUGACUCUUUACAAAUCCGCGUGGGAUAGAUUGGGGUCGAUAUUUAUAUUUUGAUUAUAUUUUUAAUUUUAAAAUUUAGAAAAGGCAUAUGUUUGGGCGAAAACAAAAAGGGCUGUUUGGGGGUGUAGGAAAAUUCUCUAUUUGAGACGUGGGCUUAAGGAUUUGAAAGUCGGGGUUUGGAGGAAAAUGUAGAGGAAACUAACUGGAAAUGUAGAGGAAACGAACACGAAAUGUAGAGGAAACUAACAAGAUUUUUUUUUAAUUUUUUUUAAGGUUUUAAUGUUUUGAGAAUAAUUCUUAAAAACACCUUUCAAUUUUCUGUGUUAUAGAAAACGAAAAUAGACAAUAAAAAAAUAAGAAUAUUGUGGAAAAAAUGGGAUAAAUCGAACAAAAUUCACUAUGUAAAAAAUUAGUACAAGAAAAAAGAAAUGAGUGAGCGUAUAAUUUUUUCAUAUAAAUUUGUGUGUUCUUUUUCUUACUGUAUAUUUUCAUAUUUCGUAAUAUUAUGAAAAACAAUCGAGAAUACUUAUAACAAACAUGUUUUUGGAAUAAAAAAAAAAUAAUUUUUUGUCAAAAGUUUAUAAAUACUGUUUUUUUUUCUAGUUAGACAAAAACCAAUUAAUUUUAAAAAUAAUUAUUUAAUAAGUAUUAAUUUUUUUUUAUUUAUGUUCUAAUUUUCUUUCUUUGUGAGAGAAACACCAUCCAAAUGUGCCAUAAAAAAAUGAAUGAAUGAAUGCUAAUUCAAGUGUGGUAUUAAUAAUAUUAAUAAUGAUAUUAUUCUAAUAUAAUAAAUGAAAUUUAUUAAACAUAAUAUUAAUUACUUAAUACAAAUUUCUUUUAGUUUAUAUAAAAUGAAAAUAGGAAAAUAUACAAAAAUAUAUUUAAUGCUAAAAAAGGUCAAUAAAAGUUUGAAAAGAAUUAUUAGAAUACAAAGAGUAUCCCCAAAUAAAAAUAAAACAAUUAAAGUAAUAUUCAGAAUAUGAACAAUAUCAUCGGAUGCAAAUAUUAAGAUCAAGUAUAAAAGUUUUGAAUUAUAUAAAAAUUUUCUUAUUAUUAAUUUAAUGUUAGUUUGGAUAUAUUUAUUCUAUUUAUUAUUUUUAAAAUCAGAAACUUUUAUAUAAAAGUGAAACAUGUUAUAUAACUGUUUAAAACUAUUUAAAGAAAAUUAAAUUCUAGGUAUUUGCCAUUGUAAAUUUGUGAGUAUUGUUCUAUCUCAUAUUAAAAUUAAUAUAAUUUUUUUUAUUUUGAAAAUAGAAAACAAAAUAUGUAUAUUCAAAUGAAAACUUAGAAUCAUGAAAGCAAUUUUGUUGCCAAUGGUUUUAAAAAACAGUUUUCUUAUGUUUCUAAUAACAAAAUUUUGUUGUGAAGCUUGAAAUGUUCUUAAUCUUAUAUUUUCAAAUAUUUCUUUAAAAUUAUUUUUUAUAAUAUUUUAUUUUUAAUUUUUUUUCAUAUUUAUGUAAUUUAUUUUUAAAAUACCUCUAAAAAAAUAAGUGAAAACAAACAAAAACAAUUAAGAUAUGUUUUUGUUAAAUACUUAAAUUGGUAAGGAUUUUUUUUUAUCUUAAAUAAAAAUUAUUAUUAUUAUUUUUUAAAUGUAUUCCUUAAAUAUAAAGGUUUGUUUAACCAUUAUUUUUUUAUAACAGUUUUUUCUUCUCCUUAAUAAAAAAAAAAAAAACAUGUUGGAAAUUAUUUUUUGUUUUUUAUUCUUAAAAACAAAAAAUUUGAUAUUUUUUAAAAUAUAUUUUAAUUAUUUUUAUUUAUUUUUUAGGAUUGUUUUAGAAACAGAAGGAUUAAAAAUAAAGUGUUGAAUCUAAAAAUUAUUUUUAAAAUAUAUUUAAAAUAAAUUAAAGAUAUUUUAGUUUCAAAAGAAAAAAUUAUUUUUUUAGAAUUAUUUUUAAAAAUAGUUAUCAUCACCGAGAAACUAAAAUACUAAUGAAAAAAUUGAAAAUGGUUCCAUGUCUGUACCGCCUUUUCUGACUUUUGAAUGCCUUUUCACACUGCCAGCCGGUAUCUCUUAAAUCAUUUUUCCAUUCCGCGGGCAGGUAAGUUGGCUGGAAUUUUAUAUUUUUAUUAUACUAUUAAUUUUUAAAAUUUUUCUAUUUAUCAAAUAUUUUAUAACAUUAAAAAAAAUUAAGAAUAAUUUUUAAAAGUAAUUAUAAUUUUUCAAAAAACAAAUAUGUGUUUUUUCAAUAUGAAAAAUAAGUGUGCAUAAUAUAAAAUUUUAAAUAUUUCUCAUAUUUUUAAUUAUAAUUCAAAAUUUUAUAUAAAUAAUAAUUAGAAAACCUAAAAUUGUUGGUAAAAAUAGUUUAUUUUUAAAAUAAAUUCUUAAAACUAUUUUUAAUUAUUUAUAGUAAACAUAAAUAUAUCAAAUAUGCUUUUUUUGUUUUAAAUAACAAGAGAUAUUUUUUAAAAAUGUUUUUAAAUAAUCGAAACACAUUUUUUCUUAUGAAUUUAAUGGUUUUUUUUUUUUUUUUUUGGAAAAUGUGAUUAUUUGACAAACCAUUUUGAAAGCAGGGAAUUUGAGGGACGCAUGUAACUUUAUUUUAUUUUUGAUCUAUUUUCAUAUUCCUAUAAUUAUUUUUUAAGUUAGUCAUAUAAAAUUUUCAAUCUAGAAUUGCAGGUGAGUCCAGCCAUCAGCCAUGAACUGGGCUUAGAGGCGGUGAAGUUAUAAAACCUCUUUCCAUUGUAUAUUGAAUCCAAAUUUUCUAAAUUUAAGUUUUUAAAAAAAUUGAUAAUUUAACUUAGAUGGAAGACUUGAUUUGACACCUCUCUUUAGAUAUCUCCGCAAUUUAGAUAUUUGUUUCCAUUCGAUGUCACUCCCUCAUGCAUAUUACGCGUCCCGGCAUUUUUUAAUUAAUCCUUUAAAAAAUCUGGUAGAAUUUGGGGAUAAUUUCUGUGCAAGUUCGAGGAUGCUUCCUCUGGUGUAUAAAUUUAGGGGGUCUUGCUCAGCUCAACCCAAGAGAUUCAACACAACUUUAGCUUUCCUGGUUGUGUUUAAGUUAGCCGGAAAACCUCCAUUGUUUCCGGCAAUGAAGGAUCCCACUAGAAAGAGGAUAUUAGAGUGCUGAAAAUUAAAGAAACAAAAUUUGAUUUGUGUCUUUUUGGAGCUGUUUUCAGAAUAUUCCUUUGCCUUUUUGGCUUCUUCUGGGCCCCGCCUGUGAUGUCGGGGGUACGCCAUGAGCAGCGUGGCUGUGACGGUGGUGGUGAUCGGGAACAGAUUCGAGCUGGAAUUCUCGUCAUGCACAUCCCUACCAGAAAAUAUCGCCGGCUUUGGCGCCGGGAUUGGACCGUGAGAAGAUUCGUAGCGCUGUGUAAGAAGGCUUCUAUCCCAACUGGGCCCUCUUUGCUGUCAGUGGCUCCAUUGUUGCAGUCUCAACAGCUGAGUAGAGCUUCUUCUGCAAGAUCUAUGCUGACUUAUAAUGAUAAUGGAGUUCCUUCCCUGUCGUCGGCAGUGCCAUUGCUGCAGUCUGAAGAACCCAAUGAAGCUUCAUCUGCAGGGUCUCAUUCAGCUCUGGGCGUGGACUCUGAACAACUCAAUGGGGAUUCGUCGGCACCCUCUCAUUUGGGCGUGGACUCUGACGAGACGUCUACUGAAAAUAGAGCUCCAGUACUGGAAUUCUCUAAGCAAACUUCUACUGAUAAUGGAUCUCCUUCAAUGUUUCAACGGCUGCAGUCUCAGCUCAGUAGAGCUUCAUCUGUGCGGUCCCAAUUCGCCAUUGACCCUAAGAGGACUAAUAUUGGUGACCAUGGAGCUCCUUCACCGUCGUCAACAGUGCCAUUGCUACAGUCUGAAGAACCCAAUGAAGCUUCAUCUGCAGGGUCUCAUUCAGCUCUGGGCGUGGACUCUGAACAACUUAAUGGGGAUUCGUCGGCACCCUCUCAUUUGGGCGUGGACUCUGACGAGACGUCUACUGAAAAUAGAGCUCCAGUACUGGAAUUCUCUAAGCAAACUUCUACUGAUAAUGGAUCUCCUUCAAUGUUUCAACGGCUGCAGUCUCAGCUCAGUAGAGCUUCAUCUGUGCGGUCCCAAUUCGCCAUUGACCCUAAGAGGACUAAUAUUGGUGACCAUGGAGCUCCUUCACCGUCGUCAACAGUGCCAUUGCUACAGUCUGAAGAACCCAAUGAAGCUUCAUAUGCAGGGUCUCAUUCAGCUAUGGGCGUCCCUGGGCGGCCUUCAACUGAUAAUGGACUUGCUUCAAUGUUUCCAGUGCUGCAGCCUUCAUCAACUGGGUCUAAUUUGACCCUUGAUCUGAAGAACACUUCUACUGGUAAUGGAUCUCCUUCAGUGUUGCGGGUGUGGGAGUCUCAAUUCAGGGGAUCAGCUUCAUCUUCUCAGUCUCAAUUGGCCAUUGAACCCAAGAAGAUUUAUAGUACCGGUGAAGAGGCUCCUUCACCCUCCUCAAUGGUGCCACUGCGGCAGUCUGAGUCUGCUCAGACUCAUUCAGCCAUUGACGUUCAGUCUGAUAACGCAGAGGAUGAGGAACUACAAAGGACUAUUGCUCGGAUUUUCGAAGAGAAAAACCUGAAUUGGCUGCGAGAAUUUGGUGGGGCUGAGAGACUGGCCUUCGCUUUUGGUUCUAAUUUGGUGUCCGGAAAGAAUACAGGGUUUGGAGAAUCCAGAGUCACCUACAAGAAACAAGUUCUUGCC